rnacentral:rRNA from 1 species
CGUAACAAGGUAACCGUAGGUGAACCUGCGGUUGGAUCAUUAACAAAUGUCGGUAAACGCCCGGCUGCCUCUGGCGGCAGGGUUGUUUAUUCACCCCAACUGUUGAACCUUUUUGUAUCUGGCGGGUUAAAACAAGUGCAAGCUUGGUUCUCUGGAUCACCCGCUGUAUAUGUUUUAAACUAUAUGAUUUAUUACUGGUCAUUAAAAGUGUGAUGUUUAACAAAACAAAACAACUUUUGGCAACGGAUCUCUAGGCUCUUGCAACGAUGAAGAACGCAGCGAAAUGCGAUAAGUAAUGUGAAUUGCAGAAUUCGUGAAUCAUUAAAUCUUUGAACGCACAUUGCGCUCCAGGGUAUUCCUUGGAGCAUGUCUGUUUGAGAAUCAGUUUAACUCUCAUUCUCUAGUUUCUUGGCAACGAGAAGCUAGUUGGAUGGACUUGGGAUAUUUCAGAGUUUUGCUCUGAAUGUGCCCGAAAUACAAGUUUUACCAACAAUGGUUUCUAGUUGUUCCUGGAAUAUAGUUUUUCCAAGAUCCGAAAGCAUGAGUAGUAAAGUGAGCAAUCGCUUUUUCCCAUUGCUGACAAGGACCUUGGAGAGCUGGAUUCGGGAGAAUGCAGCGAGGAAUCGGUAGAAUGCAACCUAAACAGUUGCAACAAACACGAUUGUUUGCCCCGGCAAACUUUCAAGACUAUUGAUCUCAAAUCAGACAAGACUACCCGCUGAACUUAAGCAUAUCAUAAGCGGAGGAAAAGAAACUAACAGGAUUCCCCUAGUAACGGCGAGUGAAGCGGGAAUAGCUCAAAUUUGAAAUCUCACAGGUUCCCUGUGCGAAUUGUAGUUUAAAGAAGUGUUUUCGGGAGUUGGCCAGAUCCAAGUUCUUUGGAACAAGGCAUCAUAGAGGGUGAGAAUCCCGUAUAUGGUUUGGCUUGACAAACUCCUUUGUGAUACACUUUCAAAGAGUCGGGUUGUUUGGGAAUGCAGCCCAAAACGGGUGGUAAAUACCAUCUAAAGCUAAAUACUGGCAAGAGACCGAUAGCGAACAAGUACCGUGAGGGAAAGAUGAAAAGAACUUUGAAAAGAGGGUUAAAUAGUACGUGAAAUUGCCAAAAGGGAAACGCUUGAAACCAGUCUUGCGUGCGGAAUCCCAACUGUUUCGCAAGAAGCAGCACAUGUUUCCGUAUUGCAGGUCAACAUCGGUUUCUCUUGGAGUAAAAGGGCAAGAGAAAGGUAGCCUCUCGAUUCGUUGGGGGGUGUUAUAGACUCUUGUUUCGAUGCUCUGGGGGAGACCGAGGACAGCAGCAGAGCCUUGGAGGAACCUCUCGCUGGUAAAGGCAUUUGCUUGGACAACUUGUUGACCAAGUGAGUGUACGAUGCCAACCGGGGGGUGUACUACUACUUUGCUUAGGAUGUUGACAAAAUGGUUUUAAACGACC